GAGUCAAUCUGUUCGCCUGCUCUUCAAUCCCAUAUCCUCCAAUGCUGUAGCAAUUGCUUGCGAUGGUGGUCGUCAUCAGAGCAUUAUCUCACGCAGUCCAUGUAUUGCUCAUUCUGCUUUUGUUGCUCCGGAGAGCAGCAUAACAAUGAGGUGGCUCAUUGUGUUUUACGGUUGCCCUAAUUUGAUCGCAGGACCUGAAAUGAAAUAAUUGUUGUUCCUAAACGCUCAUUAUCAUCAACUAUCCUUGUUAUUGCCGUGGGUGUAGAUAUGGCUCAUGACCAUCGCAUAAUAUAAGCUGCGGAUGUUAAAGCAGGUUGCUGUUAACCGUGCUUCAUUAGGUGCGAAAAGGCCCGGACGUGGUGGAGGACUAUAGUGCACUAUCUUUCAUGUUAUGCGUUGGAUCUGCUUAGCAAUGGCGCUCGCGUGGGUGCAUCGUUAAAGAUUGGACAAAACCACGAGUCUUGUCGAUCCAAGAGCGUUUUGACUCAUGAGAUGCGUCCUAAAUGUGGUGCAAUGUUGCCAACGCUAGGAUUGCCAAUUCAUUGAGCAAUUUUCUACAGCAGCCUGCCACAACUCCUCGUUCAGAAGGUUUGACCAGAAACAAGAGAAGCGCAUUUCAUACAUUCUUCCGAUUUCAUUAUUUCAAUUGGCCGAGAAAUGAAGGAAGACAUUGUUCAGGAGCAAGAUGUCAACACCAAAACUGUAAUAAAGCAUACUUGGAAGUGAAGUUAUGCAACUCGAGGGAGCUUUUAUUGAGAGAAAAUUACAGCAACUCUGAUGUGCCAGGGCUGGGAGCCACAGAGAGCUUGGAUAGUGUGAAGCACUAGAAAGUUUUUAUUCCAGAUGUGGUCAGCUUAAGUUGUGACACUCAUUGCUGCAUAAACUUAUCAAUUGCAGCAUGCGUCCUUGAUAACAGGUUGGUAAUUUUACUAACCUGAAGUGCACUCCAUUAAUAGCUGGCACACGGGAUUGAUUUCUAAACGUAUUGAUGAAUUCCACACAGAUUGCGGGCAGAAAUCCGCAUCCAAGACAAGUUAAGCUAUCUUCCAUUCAGCACAUCUCAAGAGAAGAUAAAGAAGAAUGCCACUACACAGUCCACAUCCUUACUAAAUGUUCUGAUAUGUGCCUUGGUAGUUACCGGUACUGAUGUCUGCCGGCAACUGUUGGAUGGGUGCCACCUCGAUGGUGGUGCUUUUCGCCUUGUACCUCAUCAUAUUAGGAUUCUUUGUUGGUAAUGUAGUCUGAGCUUUAUCGAUGUGACUCCUCACUCCCAUCCAUGACCCAGUGCGCCUAGGAUCAACAGGUGUAUGCACUCACACAUCUGUGAUUUGGGGUAUGUCUCCACCAGGCUUUGCAAUGACUGUAAGAUCCUUAUUGAAAGCAGACUUGAAAGCUGUCUUGGUGAUUUUGACAUUAGUAGCACAAUGGUGAAUCCCUCUGUUGCCCUGCAGAGCUCAUAAAUAUCUCAGGAUGAGAUCAAAGCUUCACCAACCCUUCAACCAUUAGUCAAAAGGUGACAGAAGCACUGACAUCACUCAGCCGCCUAGUUGACUUUGGUAAUGUGCAAUGUGUUUUGUUUCAGCUUGUUCACUAUAUUUCAAUUGUUGCUUUUGGUACGACAGAGAUUCACAUGCACUCUCAUAAUAGUAUAUGUGAAAACAAGUGUAGGAUGUUUUUGUUUGUCCAUCAUGGGGGAGAAGUUGAUGUCCCAUUGCUCCAUGACACAGUCUAUCUAAAAAAGCUCAACCUGUUUGGAAACACCCAGUGCUUUACUUCAUGAAUAGGGCACAUGAUGGGAAAGGAAGGCUCAUUAUUGAGCCAGUCCAUCCCCCCUCUUCCUGCUUAGUUACAGCCCUGGCAAUGUGUGCAGCUUUACAAAAUAAAUAAAAGCAACUCAUGACAUUUCA